UACGUAGGCAGCAAGCGUUGUUCGGAAUUACUGGGCGUAAAGAGUGUGUAGGCGGUGUUCUAAGUCUGUUGUGAAAUCUCCCGGCUUAACUGGGAGGGUGCGGCGGAAACUGGAAUGCUAGAGGAUGGGAGAGGUAAGCGGAAUUCCUGGUGUAGCGGUGAAAUGCGUAGAUAUCAGGAGGAACACCAGCGGCGAAGGCGGCGCUCUGGGCCGGUACUGACACUGAGGAGCGAAAGCGUGGGUAGCAAACAGG
rnacentral:rRNA from 1 species